GAAACCCGGUGAUCUAGCCAUGGGCAGGUUGAAGGUUGGGUAACACUAACUGGAGGACCGAACCGACUAAUGUUGAAAAAUUAGCGGAUGACUUGUGGCUGGGGGUGAAAGGCCAAUCAAACCGGGAGAUAGCUGGUUCUCCCCGAAAGCUAUUUAGGUAGCGCCUCGUGAAUUCAUCUCCGGGGGUAGAGCACUGUUUCGGCAAGGGGGUCAUCCCGACUUACCAACCCGAUGCAAACUGCGAAUACCGGAGAAUGUUAUCACGGGAGACACACGGCGGGUGCUAACGUCCGUCGUGAAGAGGGAAACAACCCAGACCGCCAGCUAAGGUCCCAAAGUCAUGGUUAAGUGGGAAACGAUGUGGGAAGGCCCAGACAGCCAGGAUGUUGGCUUAGAAGCAGCCAUCAUUUAAAGAAAGCGUAAUAGCUCACUGGUCGAGUCGGCCUGCGCGGAAGAUGUAACGGGGCUAAACCAUGCACCGAAGCUGCGGCAGCGACACUAUGUGUUGUUGGGUAGGGGAGCGUUCUGUAAGCCUGUGAAGGUGUACUGUGAGGUAUGCUGGAGGUAUCAGAAGUGCGAAUGCUGACAUAAGUAACGAUAAAGCGGGUGAAAAGCCCGCUCGCCGGAAGACCAAGGGUUCCUGUCCAACGUUAAUCGGGGCAGGGUGAGUCGACCCCUAAGGCGAGGCCGAAAGGCGUAGUCGAUGGGAAACAGGUUAAUAUUCCUGUACUUGGUGUUACUGCGAAGGGGGGACGGAGAAGGCUAUGUUGGCCGGGCGACGGUUGUCCCGGUUUAAGCGUGUAGGCUGGUUUUCCAGGCAAAUCCGGAAAAUCAAGGCUGAGGCGUGAUGACGAGGCACUACGGUGCUGAAGCAACAAAUGCCCUGCUUCCAGGAAAAGCCUCUAAGCAUCAGGUAACAUCAAAUCGUACCCCAAACCGACACAGGUGGUCAGGUAGAGAAUACCAAGGCGCUUGAGAGAACUCGGGUGAAGGAACUAGGCAAAAUGGUGCCGUAACUUCGGGAGAAGGCACGCUGAUAUGUAGGUGAAGCGACUUGCUCGUGGAGCUGAAAUCAGUCGAAGAUACCAGCUGGCUGCAACUGUUUAUUAAAAACACAGCACUGUGCAAACACGAAAGUGGACGUAUACGGUGUGACGCCUGCCCGGUGCCGGAAGGUUAAUUGAUGGGGUUAGCGGUAACGCGAAGCUCUUGAUCGAAGCCCCGGUAAACGGCGGCCGUAACUAUAACGGUCCUAAGGUAGCGAAAUUCCUUGUCGGGUAAGUUCCGACCUGCACGAAUGGCGUAAUGAUGGCCAGGCUGUCUCCACCCGAGACUCAGUGAAAUUGAACUCGCUGUGAAGAUGCAGUGUACCCGCGGCAAGACGGAAAGACCCCGUGAACCUUUACUAUAGCUUGACACUGAACAUUGAGCCUUGAUGUGUAGGAUAGGUGGGAGGCUUUGAAGUGUGGACGCCAGUCUGCAUGGAGCCGACCUUGAAAUACCACCCUUUAAUGUUUGAUGUUCUAACGUUGGCCCGUUAUCCGGGUUGCGGACAGUGUCUGGUGGGUAGUUUGACUGGGGCGGUCUCCUCCUAAAGAGUAACGGAGGAGCACGAAGGUUGGCUAAUCCUGGUCGGACAUCAGGAGGUUAGUGCAAUGGCAUAAGCCAGCUUGACUGCGAGCGUGACGGCGCGAGCAGGUGCGAAAGCAGGUCAUAGUGAUCCGGUGGUUCUGAAUGGAAGGGCCAUCGCUCAACGGAUAAAAGGUACUCCGGGGAUAACAGGCUGAUACCGCCCAAGAGUUCAUAUCGACGGCGGUGUUUGGCACCUCGAUGUCGGCUCAUCACAUCCUGGGGCUGAAGUAGGUCCCAAGGGUAUGGCUGUUCGCCAUUUAAAGUGGUACGCGAGCUGGGUUUAGAACGUCGUGAGACAGUUCGGUCCCUAUCUGCCGUGGGCGCUGGAGAACUGAGGGGGGCUGCUCCUAGUACGAGAGGACCGGAGUGGACGCAUCACUGGUGUUCGGGUUGUCAUGCCAAUGGCACUGCCCGGUAGCUAAAUGCGGAAGAGAUAAGUGCUGAAAGCAUCUAAGCACGAAACUUGCCCCGAGAUGAGUUCUCCCUGACUCCCUGAGAGUCCUGAAGGAACGUUGAAGACGACGACGUUGAUAGGCCGGGUGUGUAAGCGCAGCGAUGCGUUGAGCUAACCGGUACUAAUGAACCGUGAGGCUUAACCUUACAACGCCGAAG
rnacentral:rRNA from 1 species